GAUAAACGCUGGCGGCGCACAUAAGACAUGCAAGUCGAACGGACUUAACCAUUAGUUUACUGAUGGAGCGGUUAGUGGCGGACUGGUGAGUAACGCGUGAGCAACCUGCCUUUCAGAGGGGGACAACAGUUGGAAACGACUGCUAAUACCGCAUAUGCCUAAGUACCACAUGGUACAAUAGGGAAAGGAGUAAUCCGCUGAUAGAUGGGCUUGCGUCUGAUUAGAUAGUUGGUGGGGUAACGGCCUACCAAGUCGACGAUCAGUAGCCGGACUGAGAGGUUGAACGGCCACAUUGGGACUGAGAUACGGCCCAGACUCCUACGGAGGCAGCAGUCGGGAAUAUUGCGCAAUGGAGGAAACUCUGACGCAGUGACGCCGCGUGCAGGAAGAAGGUUUUCGGAUUGUAAACUGCUUUAGACAGGGAAGAAACAAGACAGUACUUGUAGAAUAAGCUCCGGCUAACUACGUG
rnacentral:rRNA from 1 species